AGAGUUUGAUCCUGGCUCAGGAUGAACGCUGGCGGCGUGCCUAAUACAUGCAAGUCGAGCGAACAGAUAAGGAGCUUGCUCCUUUGACGUUAGCGGCGGACGGGUGAGUAACACGUGGGUAACCUACCUAUAAGACUGGAAUAACUCCGGGAAACCGGGGCUAAUGCCGGAUAACAUUUAGAACCGCAUGGUUCUAAAGUGAAAGAUGGUUUUGCUAUCACUUAUAGAUGGACCCGCGCCGUAUUAGCUAGUUGGUAAGGUAAUGGCUUACCAAGGCAACGAUACGUAGCCGACCUGAGAGGGUGAUCGGCCACACUGGAACUGAGACACGGUCCAGACUCCUACGGGAGGCAGCAGUAGGGAAUCUUCCGCAAUGGGCGAAAGCCUGACGGAGCAACGCCGCGUGAGUGAUGAAGGGUUUCGGCUCGUAAAACUCUGUUAUUAGGGAAGAACAAACGUGUAAGUAACUGUGCACGUCUUGACGGUACCUAAUCAGAAAGCCACGGCUAACUACGUGCCAGCAGCCGCGGUAAUACGUAGGUGGCAAGCGUUAUCCGGAAUUAUUGGGCGUAAAGCGCGCGUAGGCGGUUUCUUAAGUCUGAUGUGAAAGCCCACGGCUCAACCGUGGAGGGUCAUUGGAAACUGGGAGACUUGAGUGCAGAAGAGGAAAGUGGAAUUCCAUGUGUAGCGGUGAAAUGCGCAGRGAUAUGGAGGAACACCAGUGGCGAAGGCGACUUUCUGGUCUGUAACUGACGCUGAUGCGAAGCUGCC
rnacentral:rRNA from 1 species